GACAGAGGGUGCAAACGUUGCUCGGAAUUACUGGGCGUAAAGCGCGUGUAGGCGGAUCGGAAAGUCGGGUGUGAAAUCCCCAGGCUCAACCUGGGAACUGCACCCGAAACUCCCGGUCUUGAGUGGUGGAGAGGGAAGUGGGAAUUCCUGGUGUAGAGGUGAAAUUCGUAGAUAUCAGGAGGAACACCAGUGGCGAAGGCGGCUUCCUGGACACCAACUGACGCUGAGACGCGAAAGCGUGGGGAGCAAACAGG
rnacentral:rRNA from 1 species